UGAGGAAUAUUGGUCAAUGGGCGAGAGCCUGAACCAGCCAAGUCGCGUGAAGGAUGAAGGUUCUAUGGAUCGUAAACUUCUUUUAUAGGGGAAUAAAGUGAGCUACGUGUAGCUUUUUGUAUGUACCCUAAGAAUAAGGAUCGGCUAACUCCGUGCCAGCAGCCGCGGUAAUACGGAGGAUCCGAGCGUUAUCCGGAUUUACUGGGUGUAAAGGGUGAGUAGGCGGGACAACAAGUCAGAUGUGAAAACUAUGGGCUCAACCCAUAGCGUGCAUUUGAAACUGUAGUUCUUGAGUGAUGGAGAGGCAGGCGGAAUUCCUAGUGUAGCGGUGGAAUGCGUAGAUAUUAGGAAGAACACCAGUGGCGAAGGCGACUUACUGGACUGAAACUGACGCUGAGGCUCGAAAGCGUGGGGAGCGAACA
rnacentral:rRNA from 1 species